rnacentral:tRNA from 1 species
GAUAAGAUGGCUGAAUUUAGGCUAUAAAUUGUAAAUUUAUAAAUGUGAUUAAUUUCAUUCUUAUCA